AAAACGGUCCUUUUCAGGACCACCAAAUGUAUUAAAUUCAUUAUUU
rfam:Acyrthosiphon pisum strain LSR1 Contig39513, whole genome shotgun sequence.